rnacentral:sRNA from 1 species
UCAUAAAAUUUACUGAUAGCUCAAUA